rnacentral:rRNA from 1 species
GUACAGAGGUCCCAAGCGUUGUUCGGAUUCACUGGGCGUAAAGGGUGCGUAGGUGGUGAGGUAAGUCGGAUGUGAAAGCUCGGAGCUCAACUCCGAAAUGGCAUUGGAAACUACCUUGCUCGAGGGUUGGAGGGGGGACUGGAAUGCUUGGUGUAGCAGUGAAAUGCGUAGAUAUCAAGCGGAACACCAGUGGCGAAGGCGAGUCCCUGGACAACUCCUGACACUGAGGCACGAAAGCUAGGGGGAGCAAACAGG